rnacentral:rRNA from 1 species
GACGAACGCUGGCGGCGCGCCUAACACAUGCAAGUCGAACGAGCGAGAGAGAGCUUGCUUUCUCAAGCGAGUGGCGAACGGGUGGGUAACGCGUGAGGAACCUGCCUCAAAGAGGGGGACAACAGUUGGAAACGACUGCUAAUACCGCAUAAGCCCACAGGUCGGCAUCGACCAGAGGGAAAAGGAGCAAUCCGCUUUGAGAUGGCCUCGCGUCCGAUUAGCUAGUUGGUGAGGUAACGGCCCACCAAGGCAACGAUCGGUAGCCGGACUGAGAGGUUGAACGGCCACAUUGGGACUGAGACACGGCCCAGACUCCUACGGGAGGCAGCAGUGGGGAAUAUUGCACAAUGGGGGAAACCCUGAUGCAGCGACGCCGCGUGGAGGAAGAAGGUCUUCGGAUUGUAAACUCCUGUUGUUGAGGAAGAUAAUGACGGUACUCAACAAGGAAGUGACGGCUAACUACGUG